CAUCCCUAUGAUGAAUCAAUGAAAAGUUAAAGUAGUGGGCUGAUCUAUGUUGAUGAGCAACCAAUUCUGAGGGAUG